ACAGACAGGGGAAGGAUGGUUAUGAAUGCUAUGGUCCAUUUCUGCUACUAAACAUCCCUAAAUCCUACACGCUGUAGCUUUAAGA